UGUUUUCAAUUGGAUUAUGUCUGUACGCUUUACUGGUUUCUGGGUUGGUGAAAGUUUGUUACUUUCUAAGUUUAUCUUCUUAAAAUGCUUUAUUGGUUUUUGGGUUGGUGAAAAAUGGUUACUUUGAUUGUUAGAGAUUGAAUCUGGGCUUAACGGGUAUAUCCACAUCUUGUGGGUGUCCAGAGAAAGCUGAGUGGUGGAAGUCUGCAGAAAGAUCAAAGAGUAAGCUACAAGAAAACAAGCAGACGCUUCAGUGUUAGAGCUAAUGUAAAGGAGAUUGCUUACGACCAGAGCUCCAGAGCUGCUCUUCAAGCUGGUAUCGACAAGCUUGCUGAUGCUGUUGGUCUCACUCUUGGCCCUAUAGGGACGAAUGUUGUGUUGGAUGAGUUUGGAAAUCCCAAGGUUGUGAAUGAUGGAGUCACCAUUACUAGGGCUAUUGAGUUACCUGACGCCAUGGAGAAUGCUGGUGCAGCACUUAUCCGUGAGGUUGCAAGUAAAACUAAUGACUCUGCUGGUGAUGGGACAACCACUGCGUCUGUCUUGGCUCGGGAAAUCAUCAAGCACAGAUUGCUGGAAUGGAGAUAGCGUUUGCAGUUGCCACAUACUACUCACUUUUGGAACUCAAUUCCAGUGUACGUCCUGUUACAAUUGCUUAUCAAAUUGCUGAAGAGACCAUGCUUUUAUAAGCUUCGAGAGAGAGUCAUGAGAGACUGGAAAAGGAAGUACAGUUCUUAAGAAAGAGAUUCAUUAAAUGUAUCAGUCUCUCAAUGAACUCAGAGGCUGAGAAUGAUUGCAUCUAUUAAAGAGAAUGCUUUCAAAGAUCUUAAUGUGGAAGUGACGAAAAGGGAGUAGAUGGAGGAAGAGAUUAAGCAAAUCAGCUUCACUUCUUCUAGCAGGCAGAGAUCUCUUCUUUUCACAACGAAACAAAAUCCAAAACGCAGAAACUAAUGACGCAAAAUCCUAAACUGAAGUAUCAGAAAUAACUGUUUGUAUUAAAGUUUAAGCCAUUGUUACAGAGGGUGUGUUUUCAUUGAUAACGGCAGAUAAUGGUUAUGUAACUUAUGUACAACUCUUUACUGUACCCCAAAGUUAUUUAGCCAUGGUUAAUCAA